GAUGAACGCUGGCGGCGUGCUUAACACAUGCAAGUCGAACGGAAAGGCCCAAGCUUGCUUGGGUACUCGAGUGGCGAACGGGUGAGUAACACGCGGGUGAUCUGCCCUGCACUUCGGGAUAAGCCUGGGAAACUGGGUCUAAUACCGGAUAGGACCACAUUUUGGAUGGUGUGGUGGAAAGUUUUUCGGUGUGGGAUGAGCUCGCGGCCUAUCAGCUUGUUGGUGGGGUAAUGGCCUACCAAGGCGUCGACGGGUAGCCGGCCUGAGAGGGUGUACGGCCACAUUGGGACUGAGAUACGGCCCAGACUCCUACGGGAGGCAGCAGUGGGGAAUAUUGCACAAUGGGCGCAAGCCUGAUGCAGCGACGCCGCGUGGGGGAUGACGGCCUUCGGGUUGUAAACUCCUUUCGCUAGGGACGAAGCGCAAGUGACGGUACCUGGAGAAGAAGCACCGGCUAACUACGUG
rnacentral:rRNA from 1 species